ACAAUGAAGAAGAUGAAUAAGUGCACGUUGCACUUGGAAGCUUUUUGAUGCACGACCACAAAUUGUUCCCUUGUGUUCAAACCUUAAACGAAUUGAGGAAAGGUGUGCUUCUUAGUGGGAUUUGCAAAUGUUAUGGAGAAGUCAUAAAUGAGGGAGCCACCGCAAUUCUGAGAUUACCAGUGUGGCAGCACUGGCUAAAGCAGCAGCACCAGAAUAUUUUAUCUCAGCAAUGAUGCCUUCAAUCAUAGCAAUCUUUGACGGGCACACUGACAAAAAUCAUUCUGUGCAGCAAACAUCGCCUACAGGAGUAACUGAGAGAAUGCAGCAUUCGCUGUACCAGUAGAGAAGGAGCACCCUUUUGCUGAGACUUGAGAAUUGCACUCACUUACAAAAGAUUGGUAAGAAAAAGAGAGCACCUUCCCUUGGGGCUGCCUUCAGUAAUAGAGCUGUGCAUUUUGAAGCAAUAUUGGCACUGUUUCUGUCAUGAGAACCACUCAAUUCCCGGAAAACACUGGCACUGCCACCAAAGUCAGUUAUGUGUCAUAUGCUACUCACUGCCUCAGAAGAACUUUCAUCAAGUAGUGUUGGCUCUUCCAUGUAUGUGGAACCUUUCGUAGAACCUAGUGAUCAUAAAAGAAGAGCUUUGCACAAGCCAAGCAUCAAUUUGAGAAAAUCUUCCAUAUUUUUCUCAUGCACAAACUCCAAAAGGUUUCCAAUAUGCCAUACUACUUUCAGCUGAGAAAGCAACUUGGGAUCCAUUUCCAGAGCCGAUGCCAGAGCCACGCGCAGCUCAACAUCAUUCACAUUUGCACAGGACAGAUCACCAAGUGAAAAUCUGAAGCAGUGGCUGACUGUCUUUGGUUGUAGAAUCUCAGAAAUUUUAGUCAAGUUGAACUCUAUGAGCAUCGGAAGGAGCUUCUGCACACACAUUGGUAUAGGGGUCCUCAUCCUCAAUCAAGGCUGGGCAGAGAGGGAGAAAUUGCACCCAAGUCUGCCAGCUUAUGCUUUAACUCUGGAGUUUUGAUUAGGAAAACGAACAUCGCAUCAAACAGAAUAUUGAGGGACAGAAAUCUGGCAUCAACAUCCUUGUUGCCCUUACACAGAACAUCCAGACUCAGCAGAAUCCCACAGAUGAAUACGUCAGAGCUUUCAGGAAUCCAGUAUGACUCCUCUGUGAUGGACUCAACGCUUGCAUUUUGAGCUGGCAAUGCAAGUUCUAGGAAUGGAUCAGAUGUUGUGCUCUGGUUUUCUUUUCAAUCCCGAACUGCUCUUGGAUUGUGUUUGUAAUUAGUGUGCUGAAUUAUGCUUUGUGUGAGUGUGAACCAUCUAAGUUUUGCCUGUCUAGUGUUUGGUGAUCAUGUGCAAUUUUGGUGUUUGAUGAAAUGAGCUAUGUGCUUGAGAUUGCGUGUGCUGGAAUGUCGCCUUCAAGAAGCACCUGAAGCUGAAGCUGAAGCGCAAGGUCUAUUGCAAUGGCUUCCUCUCUCUCCGCACCUCCACCGGCAAGAUUAGUCCAUGCUGUGAUUGAUGGUCGGAUAAUGCCGUAUCAUGGCAGCGAGCAGCUGUUGGAAUGCAGGAUUUUGAAGAAUGAUGAAGUUAUUUGUUCCGAGCUUUGGUUGAGUUUCUGGAUAUGAGGUUCACUAUAAUCCCCUCUAUGAAUUACGAGAUGCUCCUAAUUCCUCAGAAACCGAAAAAGAAACACUGGUUAUUUUAGAAGAAACUGAUCGCUUAUGAUGUUGCAACCUGCCGGAAAUGGGAACCAAAUUGAUACCGUCCCUAUACCCUACAUAUAUAGAUUCUACAUCCCAAAUAGCACAGCUUGCUUUACAAUGCUUCCUAAUGACUUCUAACGAGCAGCCUUCGUGGACUAAAGUCAUGGAAGAACUGGAAUCAGUACACUGGAAUAGAAUGGGAUAGUUAAAUUCACUUAUUAUGUCAUUCUUACUUCAUGUGAUGUAAGUCAAAGUCUGUUGUUCCACACUUUUCCAUUUUUCCCCGGAAUAAUCCUGGGCUUUGAAUGUUCAUUUCUAUUGUACCCAGCAGUUACUAGGAGUUGUCUUCUCUUGUAAGUUCUUUGGAAUAUCCAUGACAUGUAUAUUAAUACAUGCACCGCUUUGUGAAUUGAGAUGUGAUUGUACUUAUGUUUAUGAGAGGAACAGUUCUUUAAGGCUAA